rnacentral:tRNA from 1 species
ACGCGCCCGGCGCGGUGCCCCCGGGCGUCGAGGCAGCGCUGGCAGAGGCCGGGCUGACCGGCAUCGUCCGGUUCCAGACCGGGGGCGCGGC